CUUGGAAGCAGCCAUUCAUUUAAAGAGUGCGUAACAGCUCACUAGUCGAGCGAUCUGGCGUGGAUAAUAAUCGGGCAUAAACGAUCUGCCGAAGCCGUGGAUGUCGCAAGACAUGGUAGGGGAGCAUUCCAUGCCGCGUCGAAGAUGAGGGAUGACCCUUGUUGGAGCGCAUGGAAAAGCAAAUGUAGGUAUGAGUAACGAUAAGGGGGGCGAGAAACCCCCCCGCCGAAAGACCAAGGUUUCCUGAUCAACGCUAAUCGGAUCAGGGUGAGUCGGGACCUAAGGCAAAGCCGAACGGCGCCGCCGAUGGAAGAAUGGGUUAAUAUUCCCAUACUGCCUCAUGGAGUGACGUGGAGACGGAGAAGUGACAGUCCUGCCGGCUGACGGAAUAGCCGGUUGAAGGGUGUAGAUAUUGAUUCCCGUAGGCAAAUCCGCGGGGAGAGUCGAACCUGAGAGUAUACGGAGCGCUUGCGCAACGUAAUAUGGACGUAACCAUGCUCCCGAGAAAAUCCGCUAAACUUAUCCAUGCGGCACCCGUACCGUAAACGGACACACGUGGUCGGGUUGAGAAUACUGAGGCGCUCGAGUGAUUCACGGUUAAGGAACUAGGCAAAUUGACCCUGUAACUUCGGGAUAAAGGGUCCCAACGAGAGUUGGGCGCAGAGAAUAGGUCCAGGCAACUGUUUAACAAAAACACAGGGCUGUGCCAAUACGAAAGUAGACGUAUACAGCCUGACACCUGCCCGGUGCUGGAAGGUUAAGAGGAGAUGUCAUCGCAAGAGAAGCAUUGAAUUGAAGCCCCAGUAAACGGCGGCCGUAACUAUAACGGUCCUAAGGUAGCGAAAUUCCUUGUCGGGUAAGUUCCGACCUGCACGAAUGGUGUAAUGAUCCGGACGCUGUCUCAACCAUGAGCUCAGUGAAAUUGUAGUAUCGGUGAAGAUGCCGAUUACCCGCGAUGGGACGAAAAGACCCCGUGAACCUUUACUAUAGCUUAACAUUGAAUUUGGGUAAUUGAUGUGUAGGAUAGGCCGGAGGCUUCGAAGCGGGCACGCCAGUGUCCGUGGAGCCGCUGUUGAAAUACGGCCCUUUGAUUAUUUGAGUUCUAACCCGUUGUUGCGGGGACACUGUUUGGUGGGUAGUUUGACUGGGGUGGUCGCCUCCAAAAGUGUAACGGAGGCUUCUAAAGGUGCCCUCAGGACGAUUGGUAACCGUCCGCAGAGUGUAAUGGCAUAAGGGCGCUUGACUGGGAGACUUACAAGUCGAUCAGGUAGGAAACUAGAGCAUAGUGAUCCGGUGUUUCCGUAUGGAAGGGACAUCGCUCAAAGGAUAAAAGGUACUCCGGGGAUAACAGGCUGAUCCCUCCCAAGA
rnacentral:rRNA from 1 species